AGACAGCAGCCGCCGCGGGAAUACGGAGGGUGCAAGCGUUAAUCGGAAUUACUGGGCGUAAAGCGUGCGUAGGCGGUUCGUUAAGUCUGUUGUGAAAGCCCCGGGCUCAACCUGGGAAUGGCAAUGGAUACUGGCGAGCUAGAGUGUGUCAGAGGAUGGUGGAAUUCCCGGUGUAGCGGUGAAAUGCGUAGAGAUCGGGAGGAACAUCAGUGGCGAAGGCGGCCAUCUGGGACAACACUGACGCUGAGGCACGAAAGCGUGGGGAGCAAACAGGAUUAGAUACCCGAGUAGUCCCUGUCUCUUAUAC
rnacentral:rRNA from 1 species